CGGAGGGGGCGAGUGUUGUUCGGAAUUACUGGGCGUAAAGGGCGCGCAGGCGGCCUGGCAAGUCGAGUGUGAAAUCCCUUGGCUUAACUGAGGAAUGGCGCUCGAAACUACCUCGCUGGAGGGCGGGAGAGGGAAGUGGAACUCUCGGUGUAGGGGUGAAAUCUGUAGAUAUCGAGAGGAACACCGGUGGCGAAGGCGGCUUCCUGGCCCGUACCUGACGCUGAGGCGCGAAAGCGUGGGGAGCAAACAGGAUUAGAUACCCUGGUAGUCCACGCCCUAAACGAUGGGCACUAGGUGUGGGCGGUAUUAAUCCCGCCUGUGCCGUAGCUAACGCAUUAAGUGCCCCGCCUGGGGAGUACGGUCGCAAGGCUG
rnacentral:rRNA from 1 species